UAUUCUUUGUUGAAAAGCUCAGCAGCAACUUGCAUGCUUAAUUUGAGUUGACUAUCUGACUUUGUAUCUCCGCACAGCCACCUCCUUGGAGCUUCCUUCACUGAUUUGGUUACGGAGAUACUGCUGGCUCACCGCAGGUCCAUAUUGCAGGACAAGACCAGUAGCCGAAAGCAAUUGACAUUAUCUCGACAUCUACAAUAUUUGGAGCAGCUGACCUCCUAUCAAGAAGUAUUUGCGUGAAGGAGCUUGUGUAAUGGCACACCAAGGAAUA